AGCAGCCGCGGUAAUUCCAGCUCCAAUAGCGUAUAUUAAAGUUGUUGCAGUUAAAAAGCUCGUAGUUGAAUUUCGGGGUUAGUAGGUUGGUCAUGCCACUGGUAUGUACUGAUCUUACUGAUUCCUCCUUCCUGAUGAACCGUAAUGCCAUUAAUUUGGUGUUGCGGGGAGACUGGACUGUUACUUUGAAAAAUUAGAGUGUUUAAAGCAGGCUAACGCUUGAAUACAUUAGCAUGGAAUAAUGAAAUAGGACGUUCGAUCCUAUUUUGUUGGUUUCUAGGAUUGACGUAAUGAUUAAUAGGGAUAGUUGGGGGCAUUAGUAUUCAAUUGUCAGAGGUGAAAUUCUUGGAUUUAUUGAAGACUAACUACUGCGAAAGCAUUUGCCAAGGAUGUUUUCAUUAAUCAAGAACGAAAGUUAGGGAUCGAAGACGAUCAGAUACCGUCGUAGUC
rnacentral:rRNA from 1 species